rnacentral:snoRNA from 1 species
CGGCACUGCCAAGUGUCUCCUUGGUCUUCUCCAUGAUUUCGGAGUCUCAUUCCAGUGCUAGAGUAACUCCCUUCUUGCAGAAAGGCCAGGAUCUGCUGUGACCUGCCUUUUCCGAAAGCUGGGUACAAAG